rnacentral:rRNA from 1 species
ACUCCUACGGGGAGGUCAGCAGUAGGGAAUAUUGGUCAAUGGGCGAAAGCCUGAACCAGCCAUGCCGCGUGUCAGAUGAAGGUCCUCUGGAUUGUAAAUGACUUUUCUACGGGAAGAAUGAGCCGUCUGCGGACGGAAGUUGACGGUACCGUAGGAAUAAGCACCGGCUAACUACGUGCCAGCAGCCGCGGUAAUACGUAGGGGUGCAAGCGUUGUCCGGAUUUACUGGGUUUAAAGGGUACGUAGGCGGUUGUGCCAAGUCUGGGGUGAAAGUUUGCAGCUCAACUGUAAAAUUGCCUUGGAUACUGGUCGGCUAGAGUAGUGGAGCGGUGGCUGGAAUUUAUAGUGUAGCGGUGAAAUGCUUAGAUACUAUGAGGAACACCAAUUGCGAAGGCAGGUCACUGGUCACUAACUGACGCUGAGGUACGAAAGUGUGGGGAUCAAACAGGAUUAGAUACCCUGGUAGGAUAGCG